AUGGCUCGGGCCUACCGGCCCUCAGCGCUUGGAUCCCAGCCUGGCUCUUCGAAGCGCACGUGCGUUCCCGCCCUGGCACACGGUCAUGGGCUCCCUGUGGGUGGCAGUGCGGGUUCUUCAGAAAGCACAUGCCAAGGUGGCGUCAGAGCUUCCAGCGAUGUGUGUGUGUGUGUUGGGGGGGGCAAACAGUGGGCUGAGAGGAGCCGUCAGAACACGGCGCGAGGAGAGAGGCAGGGAAGGGACUGGGCAGCGAGAGCUCUGGACAAGGGGCUCCAGGCAGAAGCAGUCGAGCUGGAGUGCCCCCUCCAUGCUCAGGCGUGGGCAGCGAUGGCCGGGAGAAGCACGCGCCGGUCUGGGCAGGAUCCAGCAACUGUCAAAGGAAAGAAAGGAAAUCCAGCAUGCGCUCAGCAGGGAAAGGACAGGUGCCACCUUAUUUUCAUGGUUCGAAAAGUUCCUGGGAAAAUGGAAUCAAAGGCUUGGGACCAGCCUGGGAUUCAGAGUUUUCAGCACGUUGACCUCCACACAGUUGGGAAUAAGUCCGCCUGGGACUUAAACUCACAUCUUGUGUUUUCCAAGCUGGUCUUCUGUCCACUAUGCCACCUUGGAAUUUGGUUAUCUUACAGAGUAUAG
rnacentral:lncRNA from 1 species